GACCUUCAAAGCCCUUCACGGCCUAGGACCCUUGUACCUACGGGACCGCCUCUCCCGGUAUGCCCCACGGAGGACCUUAAGGUCCAUAAAUAGCAACACCCUAGAGGUCCCAGGCCCUAAGGAAGUUAGAUUAGCCUCAACCAGAGCCAGGGCCUUUUCAACACGGGCUCCAGCUCUGUCUCAUGAGACCAGGGCCCUGCAGGAUCUGAUUUCUUUCCGCAGGGCCUGUAAGACAGAGUUGUUCCGCCUGGCCUUUGGCUUGGAAUCAAUUUGAUUCUCUCCCCCUCUUUCUUUUUUCCUCUCUCCUCCAGUGAUGAGGCUGCAUUUUAAUGUUUUAAUGUUGUAUUUUAAUCUUGUUUUUUAAUUUGUAUUUCAAUCAACUUGUUUUUAUUAUUGGUUGUUAGCCGCCCUGAGCCCGGUGUUGGCUGGGGAGGGUGGGGUAUAAAUAAAAUUUAUUCAUUUAUUAUUAUUAUUAUAGAAGAAUAUAGCUAGAUAGAUAGCUAGAGAGACAGGCUUGUAGAGUUGGAAGGGACCACAAGGGUCAUCUAGGCCAACCCCCUGCAAUGCAGGAAUCUCUUGCCAAACAUGGGGAUCAAACCCACAACCCUCAGAUUAAGACCUGCAAAGUUUGCAGAAGUACGAAAAACAACAGCCCCUGUUUGGGGUGGUGGUGGGCAAACAUAAGGAAAGAGAAAUUUAAUGAGGACUCAUGACGCUGAGCGGGGAGGAGAAUGGAAGAGAAUAUAUCAGAAAAGGGCAUGGCUGGUCAGUGCUCUGAACAUAUGAAAUAACUUGAGAUGUAUGUGUUCCCGAGGGGAAGUCCCAUGUCCAGUGGGUGGUGCCUGCCUCUCUUUCUAAAUGGUGCCUCUGAAUUUAUUAUGAAUGAACUCUUCAUGGUUUCCCAAAAGCUCAGGAGGACCACAGCAGCAGAAAAGCUUUUAAUGCCACGUGGCUGGUGAGAGGGGUUGUUUCUGACAGUCACACCAGUGAAGAUUACAGAGCAGAAAGGCACUUCCUGGUUUUAAUCGAGCUUUUACGUGAUUGAACCAUCGUUUCCAGAAGCAAAGAAUAAUAAUAAUGGCAUUCCUCAUUCUCUUGAUAUCAUUAAAGACGGCUGAGCGCCGCUUCUUAUUUAUCUCCGCCAUGGCUUCCUUAUGACUGUUUUACUGCUUCCCACACAUCGACGCGUUAUGUCAGCUGUACGAAAGGUAACUAGAAAUGGCAGCUGGCGAGAGAAAGUGUCGCCAUUCCUGGAAUGGCUUGGAUUAUCAGGGCAGCAGGAGUUGCUGGCACCGCAGCCCAAAUCUACUUGACCUGCCGAAUGUUUGGCUGCUGGAGAGAGUGAUGAUUCAUUCAAAGUUCACGAAACGCGAUUGCUGGCUUCUACACAGAGGAAAUAAAAACUAGGAUUUCCCCCUCCUAAAAACUGCCCAAGUGGUAAAACUUAAAGGGUUGUGUUUGCUGUUUCCUCUUCUUUCCCCCCUUUCUCCUGAUUACGUCAUCUCUCUCUUCAUGAUUCGUUAUUCACUUAAGGAAUUUUCUGCCGCUAGAUGAACAACACUAUUAGGGUGAAGUUAGAUGUAAUACUUAGAGCAGGUUAUCCACCAACGAUGAGAUUCUAGCUUCCUUCACAAUUUUCAAAACAGGUUACGGGGUUAGGCAUUCCUCUUGACUGGGAAUGGAGGAGAAAUUAAUUCAGUUUGCAUUUAGAGAUGAACCUAUUUAAGUCACGCUUUUAUCACACAGCGCAUGAACUUCAAACACAACCCUCCUUCUAAAUUCACGUUUCUUUGGAUGUUGCAACGCAGUUGCCCGGCAUGCACCGGAGUAAAGUGUGCCUAAAAAUGCACACAUGAGUGAAAAUAAGAUACAAAAAUGGCAUUAUAUUAGACAAAAUUGCUUUGCGAAAAUGUGUACGUUAGGAGAAAUUUGCACUUAAAUGCUUAUGAAUUUUCAUGAGGACUUAAAAAAAUACAGACUGAUGUGGAAAUGUGGAGAAAGGAACUGAUGAUUGGGGAAAAUGAGAAACCUAGAGAAAAAUGAUAUUGGCAGAUUUGCCCAUCCCUAAUCCUAGCCCUUGGGGGUAGAGGAGAAUUAUUAUUUUUUUUAAAAAAAAAUUCCAGUCAAGCAAGUUGAUAUACAGUGGUACUUCGGGUUACAAACACUUCGGGUUAUAAACACUUUGGGUGACAGAAUCUGCUAAUCCAGAAGUAGUACCCUGGGUUAAGAACUUUACUUCAGGAUGAGAACAGACAUUGCGCGCCAGCGGGAGUCCCCAUUAGCUAAAGUGGUACGUCAGGUUAAGAACAGUUUCAGGUUAAGAACGGACCUCCAGAAUGAAUUAAGUAAGUAACCAGAGGUACCACUGUAAUUUGCACCUUCUGGACUAAUCAGAACAUAAUAAUUAUUCAGAUUUCAAAGUUCUCUGAAUUUUGCGUUAAAGUUCUCAUCUAAAAAAUAAAUAACGAAAGGUUUUAAAAGUGCAUAUUUUAAGACCAAAUUCUCUUUUUCUAUAUUUAGAAAUGCACGCUUUGAAAUAAAAUAUGUAUUUAAAUAUGAAUCUUCACAAGGUUUUUCCUUUAAAUACAGAGUAAUGUGGAAAGAGGAUGGAAUGGACUUGUGAAUGGACACAUGCAACUUCAAUAUGGACCAGAAAUAGACCAACCCAUCCUAAAUUUUGGGGGCCACAUUUUUUAAAAGUAGUACCACAUGUCUAUUCAUGAGAAGAUAAUAGGUCCUGGAGCAUCAUUAGCCAACAUAGUGCCCUUCGGAAGUUAUUGGACUCCCAGUUAUUGGACUCCCAGUUCUCAUAAUCCCCAGCCAGCUUUGCCAAUGGCCAUGGAUGAUGGGAGUUGUAGUCUGGCAAUAUCUAGAAAGCACCACUUUUUUGGGGGAGGGGAAUGAAUCCUAGGGCUUGAGCUGAUGGCCAGUUAUACAACAAGCAACCUUACUGUAGCUAAGUUCUGGCUUAGAUCUUUCAGUGCUAGGGUGGGUUUCUGCUUGUUUUCAUACUUAUUCAUUUAUUUAUUUGAUAAGAUUCUAUUAAAGCUUUUUCAUAAUACCAUGAGAUAAAAGAAACUAAUCC